CAAAAUUGUAAAGUGUUUCCCAACUCUGUUUCCAGUGCAUUCCCCCACUUGAUUUUAGGCCUACACUGAAAAUCCCAGUGGGUUCUUGUUCCCUGUUUAAAUGGUGGGGUAGAAUUGGUUUGAAACAGGGUCUCACUAACUCUGGCUGGCUUCAAACUAUGUGGACUAGGCCAGCCUCACAGAGAUCCACCUGCCUCUGCCUCCUGAGUGCUAGAAUUAGAGGUGUGUACCACCACACUCAGCUACCUAAUUUUUAAGUUGCCUUCCUUGAAAGAAAAACCAGGAACCAGAGGAGUAGACUGAAGAGAACUGACUUUCUGAAGCUGAGGACUUGGAUGACUUGCUGGGGGUUUAUAGAGGAAGGUUACACUUUGUACCUCUGGCAUGCUGUUCCAGGGAACCAAGGCUGGGGUUUUUGAAAUGACAUGGCAUUAAAAUAAAUUUGGAUUUGCUCAC
rnacentral:lncRNA from 1 species